GGCAGAUGCCAAACUUCCUGACGCCCAGUCAGGCUAUGAAAAGUCCUACACAAACGUACUUGCGGGUCACAGCGGUACUAACUUGAUUUACGAGGCAG
rnacentral:ncRNA from 1 species